rnacentral:rRNA from 1 species
CAACGCCUGCCCAGUGAAUUAUUAAACGGCCGCGGUAUCCUAACCGUGCAAAGGUAGCAUAAUCAUUUGUCUAUUAAUUGUAGACCUGUAUGAAAGGCACCAUGAGAGCCUAACUGUCUCUUAUAACAAAUCAAUUAAACUGAUCCCCUAGUACAAAAGCUAGAAUUACACCAUAAGACCAGAAGACCCUGUGAAGCUUUAAUUAAACUAUUAAACCCCGUAAUAACUAAUUUUGGUUGGGGCGACCUUGGAAAAAAGAAGAACUUCCAAACAAGCACCUCUCCUGCAUCAAAGGCUAACAAGCCUCAAAUAGACCCAGCACAGCUGAUUGAUGAACCAAGUUACUCCAGGGAUAACAGCGCUAUCUUCUUCAAGAGCCCAUAUCAAAAAGAAGGUUUACGACCUCGAUGUUGGAUCAGGACAUCCUAGUAAUGCAACAGUUACUAAAGGUUCGUUUGUUCAACGAUUAAUAGUCCUACGUGAUCUGAG